GACGAGGGGUCCAAGCGUUGUUCGGAAUUAUUGGGCGUAAAGCGGGUGUAGGUGGCUCUAUAAGUCAGAAGUGAAAGCCCCGGGCUCAGCCCGGGAAGUGCGCUCGAAACUGCACGGCUCGAGUGCCGGAGGGGAGAGUGGAAUUCCUGGUGUAGCGGUGAAAUGCGUAGAUAUCAGGAGGAAUACCGGUGGCGAAAGCGACUCUCUGGACGGCAACUGACGCUGAGGCACGAAAGCGUGGGGAGCAAACAGG
rnacentral:rRNA from 1 species